UACGGAGGGUGCAAGCGUUAUCCGGAUUCACUGGGUUUAAAGGGUGCGUAGGUGGGUCUGUAAGUCAGUGGUGAAAUCUCCGAGCUUAACUCGGAAACUGCCAUUGAUACUAUAGGUCUUGAAUUAUCUGGAGGUAAGCGGAAUAUGUCAUGUAGCGGUGAAAUGCUUAGAUAUGACAUAGAACACCAAUUGCGAAGGCAGCUUACUACGGAUUGAUUGACACUGAGGCACGAAAGCGUGGGGAUCAAGCAGG
rnacentral:rRNA from 1 species